UUAACUUAUUUAUAAGCUACUCAGAGAUGCCAAAAAAUCAAGAGUUUGUAUUCCUCCGGCGGUCUGCUCCCUGAAGAGCCUCCCGCCGAAGCAACUGAUAAGGUUCGUUCACAAAGGGUUGGGAGUUUUGCAACUCUGUAAUGAUCCCUCCGCUGGUUCACCAACGGAGA
rnacentral:misc_RNA from 1 species